ACUGUGGUAAAGAAGCAACUACUGGGUGUGCUUCAAUAUGUGGUGUUGAAGUGGGUGCAAACGCUCUUGUUAACAGCCUGAGGUGGAAGGUAUCAGAGCAGCAGUGGCAGAGCUUUGAAGAUACAUGGCUGGGACCUGGAUGUACCUUAACAGAAGUCUGUCUGUGUUAUGGACCGAUAAUGGGGAAACGAAGUACUCUAUGGCAAACCAUAUUGAGGCCAACAAGGAAGGGUGAGACCACCUGGAGUUGCAGGUUGAGAGGCAAAAGCUUUCUUACCUCUGCUCUGGGAAGUAGUCCCACACCUCCUGGAAGCUAUGGGAAAAUGAUUUCUGCUAUCAAAUAUAGUUGAGUUUGAAACUUCAGUAGUUCUCUGGUCUGUCUGGAUUUUGGCACAGCGGCUGGACAAGGCUCUUUAACUGGAGUUCUUCAACUUCCUUUGUGGCUCUCAGGCAGGCAUCAAUAUAAAGAGCUGCAUAUUAUUCCAGAGAGACUUGAUGCUGGGACCUACAGCUACUGCUUUAUAAUGGUGAGAUCUUGGGCAAGUAACCUACAUCCUAGGACCUGGUUUCCACAUUUGCAAAAUGAAAGCAUUCUACUAGAUGAAAACUUCCCUCCUAACUAACAUUCUGUCACAAUAGCGGUAGAGCUGGGACUAAAACUCAGAUUUUUCUCUUCCUCUUAUGUUGCACAACUGUUGCGUGGAAAGGGAUUUUAAAAAUAGAGUUCAAACCUGUUUGCCAUUCAGGAAAUCCUUUACAACAUUCUUGACAGUGAUCCUUCCAGACUCUGCUUAAAUACUUUGCCGGAGAACUUUGAGCUUUGUAAAGCAGUCCAUUCCUUUAUAUAAGAACCCAAACUGAGAGCAUGUGCUUGCUUACUUUGAACAGAAAUCAGCUUCCAUGUAAUUUCUUUCCACUGGCUAUGGUUCUGCCCUUUGCAACGGCACAGAGAUAGUCCAAUUCGUCUUUCACUUGACCGCACUUCAGAUUAGUUUUCUCGAGGAAAAUACUCUCAUUUCCUUGAAAUGACCUUGAAACAUCUGUUCUAGAUUUCCUGACUAUACUGCAUGUGUUCUUUGUAUGUUGCUGUUGAUGUUCCUCUAAAACUGUGGCACCCAGGAGAGAACACAAUGUGUGGUCCUACC
rnacentral:lncRNA from 1 species